rnacentral:lncRNA from 12 species
GGAAGGCUUACCUAAAAUAAGUAAUUAAAAAUUCAGCCUGAAGCAACCCAUUUUGAAAAUUUCAAGUUCUUCUAAAUUCCAGUAAGGCAGGAAAUAUGUUAAGGGGUUAGGCCCCCGGUAGAAUUCAGAAUUUCCUAUCUUGACAGAAAAGUAGAUGAGAAUAGAAAAAUGAAUCUUAAAGUUUUUCAAGUAUUUUAGCUUUACUUGUCUCUUUUCUCAGCAGGUAUCUCAUCCAGGAAUUUAGAAGCAGAAGUCAGGGAAACUAUGUAUGCAGAGUCAAGACAAUAAAUUGCCUCUUUCAGGACCUGAAAGUGUCCCUUGAAAUUGGAUGCAGCUACAAGGGUGAAAUGUGUCCAAAUGCACAAUUCACAUCACUAAAAUGUAACUGGAAGACUGCUGGAGAUAGGGUUUCCUCAUAUAGGUGACUCCUCAACAACCCCUUCUCCUGUUUCCUACUGGGAGUGUCCUCAGGAGACUAAAGGUGAAGCAGCCAUCUUGCAAUGAAGAGAGUAAAAGCUACGUACUGAGAGUGUAGGAGCAGAAAGAAGAAAAGAACCUGAAACAUUUUUAACAUACAAAGCUAUACUGAAAGUAGUCCCCUACUUGAUUGAGCGAUUGCUGUUGGAUUUCUGCUACACAAUACUAAAAGUAGUUUCAACUGAUGCACAAACAUAGGAGAGGGAAGACAUAGGACCAUGAAGAAGUAAGUGGGAGGCAAAUUUAUGAAAAUCAUGGGGAGGACUUUGAAUUCCCACAGACCAUGAAUUGGGGAGUCCAAAAAAAUUAUAUACCCCAUAUCUGAGGAAAAUGGAGAUUCCAGUGUACCUCUUUACAGCAUGGCAUAGCAAGGACUUCAGUUUAACUUGAACUAUAUUUAUCCUAAGAGUUGGGUGUAUCUAGGCAAAUCUAUCAGUCUUAGGAGGUAGGAAUUGCAGAAGUCUCUUUACAUGAGAGUCCAAGGAAACUUCUGGAGAAGAACUCAUUCUUAGGGGAGAAAAUAUAGAUAUGUAGGAGAUUGUUUCAAGGACAAAAGAUGGUCAUCACAGGGAAAAUAUUAUGCACAGUAUUUUUAUAUUAGAUUGCUCUCUGGCCAAAUGCCCAAGGACUUCUGCCUGAGUCCUAGGACAAGGAGGCUGCAA